AUCACUCUCGUGCUGAAAGUUGGAGCUCCUUACCCAAAGACUGGGCGGAAAGGGUGACCGCCCUGGACCCCUGCCCGACUUCCCGUUAGGCCAAGCCGCUGUCCUGAAAGGGGAUCGUGUCCAGGCCGGCUUCCUGGAGACACACCUGCGCCUGCACACACCCACCGCGGUCGCGUCACCAGUGCCGCGGCCACGUGGACGAAGACCAAAGUCUGGAGGGAAUUCCCUCAGCCACAAAGCGAUGGGAAAGCGGGACCCGGUGGAGACCAGAGUCUUGCUAUGCUUUCCAGGCUGGUUUUGAACUCCUAGCCUCAAGCGAUUUUCCUGCCUCAGCUUCCCAAAGUGCUGGGAUUACAGGCACAAGCCACUGCACCCGGCCCUGUUGUUGUUAAGAAAAUUACAAGUUAAAUCUUGUACCAGUGAACAAGAUUAGGGAUCGUGAUGUGGAGCUGCACUUCCUGGUUCCAAAUCCUGGCUCUUCCCCUCAUCCCUGGGUAAGUUGAGGGAUGAGAGCAAGAGAAGGUUGAUCCUGACUCAGAUCUCUGCAUGGGGCAUGUCACUGAUGACGGCGGCAUUCCCUGAGAGAGGGAACACUAAGUUUGAAGUUGGGCAUAGUGAGCACUAUUUUGGAUGAGUUAAGUUUAGAAGUGCCUGAAGACAUCCAAGUGGAAGAAGUGGCUGCAUGGACUGAAGAUACAGACUGGGAAACGUUAACACCAUCAAGGAACUGGAGUCCUGGGCACAGGUGAGACUGCUCAGGGGAGUUGUAGAAGGAGAGGAC
ensembl:lncRNA PRKCH-AS1 PRKCH antisense RNA 1